CUCAGAUGCUUAUAAAAGGGUCUUAGAUUCAUUGUUCUUUCUCUAUUUUGUUCCUGAACUGCUGUGGAACAAUGGUGGACAUCUUGAAGCAAGUGGGGACAGAAGACUGGGAUAGGGAGAGAUUGAAUAUUACGGAGGACAUAACGACUGUUUGGACUCAACCAUAUUCCGAGUCACCUUGUGGUUAAACAUGGUGUUUGCUCUUUCAGUUUUGACCAAAUGCUGCCAUCUAUCCACAGUUUUUGGUUUGGAUAGAUUUGAAUUGUCAUGGUGGGAAUAACAUCCCCUAUACACUUCCUGAUAAACUCAGCCACUGUGUCAGUGUAUACGUCAAUGUUAUUCUCAGAGGCAACCCAGAACAUAUCCCAGUCAUGUGUUCGUGAGUUAAUUUCACCAUACCAGUCAAACCCCCAGUCCAAUCCUGAUCCAGCCACCUGUUAAAUCUGUUCAAUCCUAUACUUACAACGUGUGCUAAGUUAAGAUAUUAUACUGAAUGAAAUCAACCAGACUCAGAGGUAAACUUCAACAUGUCUUUAUUCUAUCACUGUCCGUGUAACAAACCCCACAUUCCUUUACUGUCUUGGUGAUGUCAUAUCAGCACGUCACAUCAAU
rnacentral:lncRNA from 1 species